AACGUAUUCCCUCCGUCCGGAAAUACUUGUCAUCAAAAUGAAUAAAAGGGGAUGUAUCUACAUUUAUAUUAGUUCUAGAUACAUCUCUUUUUAUCCAUUUUGAUGACAAGUAUUUUCGGAGUAUUCA
rfam:Triticum aestivum genome assembly, contig: Triticum_aestivum_CS42_TGACv1_scaffold_542665_6DS